CUGGGACUACAGGUGUGCGCCACCACACCUGGCUAAUUUUUUGCAGAGAUGGGGGUGUGGUGGUCUUGCCAUGUUGCAUAGGUUGGUCUCGAACUCCUAGCCUCAAGUGAUCAUCCCACCUCAGCCACUCAAAGCUUUGGAAUUACAGGCAUCAGCCACUUUGCCUGGCUUAAUUUUUUUUUUUUUUUCAGAUGGAGUCUCAAAGUCUGGAGCAAUGAAACCUCCUCCUCCCGGGUUCCUGAUUAUCCUGAGUCAGCCUCCUGAGUAGCUGGGGCUACAGGUGCAUGCCACCACCACCAGCUAAUUUUUGUAUUUCUAGUAGAGUCAGGGUUUCACCAUGUUGUCCAGGCUGGUCUCGAACUCCUGACCUCAAGUGAUCCACCUGCCUCGACCUCCCAAAGUGUUGAGAUUACAGGCGUGAGCCACUGCACCCUCUGAAACCCAUGGUGAAACCCUGUCUCUACUAAAAAUACAAAAAGUAGCCAGGUGUGGUGGCGCACGCCUGUCGUCCAGCUACUCGGGAGGCUGAGGCAGGAGAAUCAUUCGAACCUGGGAGGUGGAGGUUGUAGUGAGCUGAGAUCACACCACUGCACUCCAGCCUGGGCGACAGAGUGAGACUCUGUCUCAAAAAAGAAAAAGAAAAAGAAAAAAAACCUCCCAGACUGAAGAGAAGGCUUUGGUAGAUCCAGGGGCAUGCACCCUCAGCUUCCCCCUCCAAACUGGCUUCAUAUCCAACCCUCAUGGGAGGGAAUUUCUGGUCCCAAACAGCAUGACAGUACUUUGAAAAUUCCAGUAUCUGUUUAUAAGGUAGUGUCCGCAGGGAUUUGGAAAGUGUCUGGAGAACGCGUGGAAGGCAGCGCGCAGACUUUAGUGGCCUCCCCCAGCCAGCAGCACGAAGGGGUAAAAGGGUCCCAAGAGCCCCACCCCACCUACCGCCACCUCAUCCUGAGUCUGAGAGCUGCAGCCCGCACAGACCAGGCACCCCUGGACUGAGCGUGCACAGAUUGACCCCU
rnacentral:lncRNA from 10 species